CGGUAUAGCUCAGCUGGUAGAGCAACUGACUUGUAAUCAGUAGGUCCCGGGUUCGACUCCUGGUGCCGG
rnacentral:tRNA from 7 species